rnacentral:rRNA from 1 species
GAUGAACGCUGGCGGCGUGCCUAAUACAUGCAAGUCGAGCGAACAGACGAGGAGCUUGCUCCUCUGACGUUAGCGGCGGACGGGUGAGUAACACGUGGAUAACCUCCCUAUAAGACUGGGAUAACUUCGGGAAACCGGCGCUAAUACCGGAUAAUAUAUUGAACCGCGUGGUUCAAUAGUGAAAGACGGUUUUGCUGUCACUUCUAGAUGGAUCCGCGCCGCAUUAGCUAGUUGGUAAGGUAACGGGUUACCAAGGCAACGAUGCGUAGCCGACCUGAGAGGGUGAUAGGCGACACGGGAACGGAGCCAGCGACAAUACUACUACGGGAGGCAGCAGUAGGGAAUCUGCCGCAAUGGGCGAAAGCCUUACGGAGCAACGCCGCGUGAAUGACGAAGGUCUUCGGAGCGUAAAACUCUGUUACUAGGGAAGAACAAAUGUGUAAGGAACUAUGGACGGCUUGACGGUACCUAAUCAGAAAGCCACGGCUAACUACGUG